rnacentral:rRNA from 1 species
CAGUCGCCGCGGUGAUACGAAGGGUGCAAGCGUUACUCGGAAUUACUGGGCGUAAAGCGCACGUAGGCGGCUUGGUAAGUUAGAGGUGAAAGCCUGGAGCUCAACUCCAGAAUUGCCUUUAAGACUGCCGAGCUAGCAGGUGAGAGAGGUAAGUGGAAUUCCGAGUGUAGAGGUGAAAUUCGUAGAUAUUCGGAAGAACACCAGUGGCGAAGGCGGCUUACUGGCUCAUACUGGACGCUGAGGUGCGAAAGCGUGGGGAGCAAACAGGAUUAGAUACCCCAGUAGUCCCUGUCUCUUAUAC